UUGAUAAGAAGAAAGAAAGCAAAAGAGAAAAUAAUAAAACGUAAGGAAAGAUUGUUGACUGAAGAUAAGUUAAAAAAAGUCAUGCAACUUAAAAAGAAAGUGGUACGAAACGAUGCAAUUGGAUGGAAGAAGAGGUAGCAUAAAAAAAGAAGAAGAAGAAGAAGAAGAGGAAUAUCAUCGUCAUUGUGAUCGAAAAUUACUAUAUCGUUGAGAAGAUUUUCUUCGAUACGUGGGAUCGACGAACUCGCUGUUGUGAUUAUUCCUACCGGUGUUGUUGGUGUUGGUGUGGAAGUGGUAAUGGUGUAGGUGUUGCUUGUGAAAAACUUUUAUUAAAAGGGAUUGUAAAAGUACAAUACGUGAGAUUAGAGAGACGUAGAAAAAAAAAAAAAAAAAAAAAAAAAAACAAUUAAGAAGAUCUGUAAAAUUCGAUUUUCGAAAUCUUCAUUGCUAAUCAUCUGGUACACGUAUAGUAGCUACAUUCAUAAACUGAAUUCAGGAGAGUCACGACGACUCACGCAAAGCAAUAAAUCAAGGGCCAAUCUACGAUUAAGACAACGACGAAGGAGGAUGACGUAGAAAAACGAAGGGACACAAAAAAAUAGGAAGAAAAAAAAAACAAAGAAGAAGAAGGAAUAUAUAUGUAGUAAGAAAAAAGGGAAGAGAAAAAACGAGGACAUCUCGACGCCUUCUUCAUCGAAGGCAAUGGUUCGCGUCACCUAGCGUCACGUACCAGCCCCAGAUAUUAGCUUCAGAAAGAAUGAUCUACGUAAUUUUUAUGUAGACGAAACGAUUCAUAAGGUUUUAUUAAAUAAAAAAAAAAAAAGUUUAUUAUAUAUAUAUGUAUAUAUA